AAGGAUUCCCCUAGUAACUGCGAGUGAAGCGGGAUGAGCUCAAAUUUAAAAUCUGUCAGCUUUCGCUGUCCGAGUUGUAAUCUAGAGAAGCAUUUUCUGUGAUGGACCGUGUACAAGUUUCUUGGAAUAGAACUUCAUAGAGGGUGAGAAUCCCGUCCAUGACACGGACUACCGUUACUUUGUGAUAUGCUCUCAAAGAGUCGAGUUGUUUGGGAAUGCAGCUCAAAAUGGGUGGUAAGUUCCAUCUAAAGCUAAAUAUUGGCGAGAGACCGAUAGCGAACAAGUACCGUGAGGGAAAGAUGAAAAGCACUUUGGAAAGAGAGUUAAACAGUACGUGAAAUUGUUGAAAGGGAAACGCUUGAAGUCAGUCGCGUUGCUUAGGACUCAGCCUUGCUAUUGCUUGGUGUACUUCCUAUGUAACGGGUCAACAUCAAUUUUGGUUGGUGGAUAAAGAUUGAAGGAAUGUGGCAUCUUAGGAUGUGUUAUAGCCUUCUUUCGUAUACACUGGCUGGGAUUGAGGUCUGCAGCACGCCUUUAUGGCCGGGGUUCGCCCACGUAUCGUGCUUAGGAUGUUGGCAUAAUGGCUUUAAGCGACCCGUCUUGAAACACGGACCAAGGAGUCUAACAUGCUUGCGAGUAUUAGAGUGGAAAACUCUUAUGCGUAAUGAAAGUGAAAGUUGGGACUCUUCGCGGAGGCACCGACGCCCGGCUCUGAAGUUUACUGACGAUGCUGCGGUAGAGCACGUAUGUUGGGACCCGAAAGAUGGUGAACUAUGCCUGAAUAGGGUGAAGCCAGGGGAAACUCUGGUGGAGGCUCGUAGCGAUUCUGACGUGCAAAUCGAUCGUCAAAUUUGGG
rnacentral:rRNA from 1 species